rnacentral:tRNA from 1 species
CAAAUUAAAGCUUUGAAAGUUUUUUAUUUACAUUAAAAGGAUAAUUGUGAGAAUCAAUUUAAUUUGA